GUCUUGUCAGUGAUGUUUUCAAACACAAAUGUCUGAACAAAUGAUUGUAUAUGAUUCAUUCAAUUUUACUGAGACAAGAC
ensembl:snoRNA